AGUUAACGAGAGGAAGCUGCUGCUGCUUAACGAGCAUCACGUGCUUCAGUGCCUUGCUCACAGACACUCGUUUCAGUCUUGCAGGAAGUUUGAGCUGCAUUUUGUUUUGGCAACAUGGAGGAAAAAGGUUCUGUGUGUGAACACUGAUGUUGUUCCUGCAGCGCUGUCUGACUUCUGACCCCCCGAUGACCUCACUCUGUAAUAGAGACUUCACAGCUCACAGAUCUCGUCUCAUGAAGAUUUAAUCAGACAGAAAAGAGAACAAAGCUCAGCAACAGAAAAGCUCUUAAAAUGACACUGAGGAGUUUUCUGUCAAGAAGUUUCUGCGCCGACGGCAAACAGAGGAAAAGAGAGAGAGAAGAGCAGAAGAGGAAGAUUUGACUGUUUCCUCCUGAACAAGAAGAAUCAGACGCGAUGAAAGACGAGCAGAGAUCAGCUGCAGAUUCUGUUUUUAUUUAAAAUUAUAUUUAAUAUUUUAUUCUGUUCAUGUAAAUCUGAAACUGGAACGAACAGUUUUGACUUCAUGUUACUUUCCUUUUUUUCUUCAGUCACAAUAACCUGAAAACAAAAACAUAUAUUAGAAGAAAGAAGAGAAACUGUGUCCCUGCUCAGCCAACAGACUUUACACUGAGGUGACCUCACAUACAUACAAUAUUUUAAAAAUGAAAAAGAUUUUUAAAGAUUUAUGUCUUCAGUAGAAAUCUACUAAACUAGCAGGAGCUCAUUUAAAUAAAAUGUCCACAUCCAGCAGUUACGGA